rnacentral:rRNA from 1 species
UACGAAGGGGGCUAGCGUUGCUCGGAAUCACUGGGCGUAAAGCGCACGUAGGCGGCUUCUUAAGUCAGGGGUGAAAUCCUGGAGCUCAACUCCAGAACUGCCUUUGAUACUGAGAAGCUUGAGUCCGGGAGAGGUGAGUGGAACUGCGAGUGUAGAGGUGAAAUUCGUAGAUAUUCGCGAGAACACCAGUGGCGAAGGCGGCUCACUGGCCCGGUACUGACGCUGAGGUGCGAAAGCGUGGGGAGCAAACAGG